rnacentral:rRNA from 1 species
UGCUCCUGUGAUUUGAGCGGCGGACGGGUGAGUAACACGUAGGCAACCUACCCUUGAGAUUGGGAUAACUACCGGAAACGGUAGCUAAUACCGGAUACGACCUUUCCACAUAAGUGGAAUUGUUAAAAGGCGGGUUUAUCUGCCGCUCACGGAUGGGCCUGCGGUGCAUUAGCUAGUUGGUGAGAUAGUAGCUCACCAAGGCGACGAUGCAUAGCCGACCUGAGAGGGUGAUCGGCCACACUGGGACUGAGACACGGCCCAGACUCCUACGGGAGGCAGCAGUAGGGAAUCUUCCGCAAUGGACGAAAGUCUGACGGAGCAACGCCGCGUGAGUGAUGAAGGGUUUCGGCUCGUAAAACUCUGUUGUUAAGGAAGAAUACUUGAGGUAGUAACUGGCCUUGAGAUGACGGUACUUAACCAGAAAGCCACGGCUAACUACGUGCCAGCAGCCGCGGUAAUACGUAGGUGGCAAGCGUUAUCCGGAAUUAUUGGGCGUAAAGCGCGCGUAGGCGGUAAAAUAAGUCUGAUGUGAAAGCCCCCGGCUCAACCGGGGAGGGUCAUUGGAAACUGUUUUACUUGAGUACAGAAGAGGAGAGUGGAAUUCCAUGUGUAGCGGUGAAAUGCGCAGAGAUAUGGAGGAACACCAGUGGCGAAGGCGGCUCUCUGGUCUGUUACUGACGCUGAGGUGCGAAAGCGUGGGGAUCAAACAGGAUUAGAUACCCUGGUAGUCCACGCCGUAAACGAUGAGUGCUAAGUGUUGGGGGGGUUUCCGCCCCUCAGUGCUGCAGCUAACGCAUUAAG